rnacentral:rRNA from 1 species
UCCGGCGGAUGCCCUCUUUCUCCGGCCUGAUUGGGCGUAAAGCGUCCGCAGGUGGCAGUUCAAGUCUGCUGUCAAAGACCGGGGCUCAACCUCGGAAAGGCAGUGGAAACUGAACAGCUAGAGUAUGGUAGGGGCAAAGGGAAUUCCUGGUGUAGCGGUGAAAUGCGUAGAGAUCAGGAAGAACAUCGGUGGCGAAGGCGCUUUGCUGGACCAUAACUGACACUCAGGGGCGAAAGCGAGGGGAGCGAAUGGG